UGUGGAUUCCAAUGAAUGUCGAUAAGUAACAGAUGAUUUCCUCCUACAAGGUUUAAUCCAACUCCACCAGCAGAGCGAUUUAUUGUUUUUACCGAGGGUAGGUUGCUAGCCUCAACCCCUCGAACCCUCUCCUUUUUAUCUGGGCUUGGGACUAGCUCUAGAUGUUAACUAAGCAGAUAAAUCUUGGCAUCAACGGCACAUCGCGGUUUGACUUAAUGAUCAAGCAGGAACUAGUGCUGUCACCGUGCCAUAGCCGUUGACAUGAUAAUUUUUUAUUAUUUAUAUACUAACGUCGUAUAAAAAAACAAUUACUUACUUUGGAACUCAACCGAUCUGAUUCAAAUACUGGAUUUGUAGAAUGACAUAUUAUUUACACGCGAUAUAAUAUCAUUAUUUUCUUCUACUAUUCCACUUUGUUCCAAAUCAUCUUGAUCCAACAUAGCAUGA